rnacentral:rRNA from 1 species
UACGUAGGGGGCAAGCGUUGUCCGGAUUUAUUGGGCGUAAAGAGCGUGUAGGCGGCCAGGUAGGUCAGCUGUGAAAACUCGAGGCUUAACCUCGAGACGCCGGCUGAAACCCUCUGGCUAGAGUCCGGAAGAGGAGAGCGGAAUUCCUGGUGUAGCGGUGAAAUGCGCAGAUAUCAGGAAGAACACCAGAGGCGAAAGCGGCGACCUGGACAGGUACUGACACUCAACUACGAAAGCGUGGGGAGCAAACAGG